UACGUAUGGUGCAAGCGUUAAUCGGAUUUACUGGGCGUAAAGCGUGCGCAGGCGGUUUCGUAAGUCUGUCGUGAAAUCCCCGGGCUUAACCUGGGAAUGGCGAUGGAGACUGCGAGGCUAGAGUUUGGCAGAGGGGGGUAGAAUUCCACGUGUAGCAGUGAAAUGCGUAGAGAUGUGGAGGAACACCGAUGGCGAAGGCAGCCCCCUGGGUCAAAACUGACGCUCAUGCACGAAAGCGUGGGGAGCAAACAGG
rnacentral:rRNA from 1 species